rnacentral:rRNA from 1 species
UGCGUAGGUGGUUAGGUAAGACCUGUGGGGAAGACCUGGGCUUAACCCAGGAAGGUCGCAGGUGACUGCCUGGCUAGAGGGCGGGAGAGGAGCGCGGAAUUCCCGGUGUAGCGGUGAAAUGCGUAGAGAUCGGGAGGAAGGCCGGUGGCGAAGGCGGCGCUCUGGAACGUUCCUGACACUGAGGCACGAAAGCGUGGGGAGCAAACAAGAUUAGAUACCCUGGUAGUCCACGCCCUAAACGAUGGGUACUAAGUGUCGGCGGGUUACCGCCGGUGCCGCACCUAACGGAGUAAGUACCCCGCCUGGGGAGUACGGCCGCAAGGUUGAA